UACGUAGGGGGCGAGCGUUGUCCGGCAUCAUUGGGCGUAAAGAGAUCGUAGGCGGCUCAGUAAGUCGGCUGUGAAAGCCCGGGGCUCAACCCCGGAACUGCAGUCGAUACCGCUGUGGCUAGCGUCCGGUAGAGGAGAGUGGAAUUCCCGGUGUAGCGGUGGAAUGCGCAGAUAUCGGGGGGAACACCAGUAGCGAAGGGGGCGCUCUGGGCCGGUACCGACGCGGGGGAGCGAAAGGGUGGGGAGCAUACAGG
rnacentral:rRNA from 1 species